rnacentral:rRNA from 1 species
UCUGAGAGGAUGAUCAGUCACACUGGAACUGAGACACGGUCCAGACUCCUACGGGAGGCAGCAGUGGGGAAUAUUGGACAAUGGGCGAAAGCCUGAUCCAGCCAUGCCGCGUGUGUGAAGAAGGUCUUCGGAUUGUAAAGCACUUUAAGUUGGGAGGAAGGGCAUUAACCUAAUACGUUAGUGUUUUGAACGUUACCGACAGAAUAAGCACCGGCUAACUCUGUGCCAGCAGCCGCGGUAAUACAGAGGGUGCAAGCGUUAAUCGGAAUUACUGGGCGUAAAGCGC